CCUACGGGAGGCAGCAGUGAGGAAUAUUGGUCAAUGGACGAGAGUCUGAACCAGCCAAGUAGCGUGAAGGAUGACUGCCCUAUGGGUUGUAAACUUCUUUUAUAAAGGAAUAAAACGAGGCACGUGUGCCUUUUUGCAUGUACUUUAUGAAUAAGGAUCGGCUAACUCCGUGCCAGCAGCCGCGGUAAUACGGAGGAUCCGAGCGUUAUCCGGAUUUAUUGGGUUUAAAGGGAGCGUAGAUGGGUUGUUAAGUCAGUUGUGAAAGUUUGCGACUCAACCGUAAAAUUGUAAUUGAUACUGGUAGUCUUGAGUACAGUUGAGGUAGGCGGAAUUCGUGGUGUAGCGGUGAAAUGCUUAGAUAUCACGAAGAACCCCGAUUGCGAAGGCAGCUUACUAAACUGUGACUGACAUUGAUGCUCGAAAGUGUGGGUAUCAAACAGGAUUAGAUACCCUGGUAGUC
rnacentral:rRNA from 1 species